rnacentral:lncRNA from 1 species
AUUGAAUUAGAAAGUGAAUAAGAUAUGAAAUGAAAUCUUAAUGAGUAUAUUUUUACAUAAAAGAAACAGAGCAAGAAAAAGAGUUAUAUAUUUUGAGAUAUUUGAAUUUUAGUGAGGUAGGGUCGGAUUGAUUUCAGAAUCCCAUGUUCUGACUUUGGAAAAUAAUUAAAAAUUGUACAAAAAUAAUUAAGUUAUAAUUUAUAUUCUUAUAAUUCUUAAUGAGUCUAUUUUCAAAGAAAAUAAAUGGAAAUAUCAUCUGAAUUUUAUACAAUUAGAUAAU